UACGAACGCUGGCGGCAGGCCUAACACAUGCAAGUCGAGCGAGGACUUCGGUCCUAGCGGCGGACGGGUGAGUAACGCGUGGGAACGUGCCCUUUGCUUCGGAAUAGCCCUGGGAAACUGGGAGUAAUACCGGAUGAGCCCUUUGGGGGAAAGAUUUAUCGGCGAAGGAUCGGCCCGCGUUGGAUUAGGUAGUUGGUGGGGUAAUGGCCUACCAAGCCGACGAUCCAUAGCUGGUUUGAGAGGAUGAUCAGCCACACUGGGACUGAGACACGGCCCAGACUCCUACGGGAGGCAGCAGUGGGGAAUCUUAGACAAUGGGGGAAACCCUGAUAUAGCCAUGCCGCGUGAGCGAUGAAGGCCUUAGGGUUGUAAAGCUCUUUUAGCUGGGAAGAUAAUGACGGUACCAGCAGAAGAAGCCCCGGCUAACUCCGUG
rnacentral:rRNA from 1 species